GAUGAACGCUGGCGGCGUGCCUAAUACAUGCAAGUCGAGCGAACGGACGAGAAGCUUGCUUCUCGGAUGUUAGCGGCGGACGGGUGAGUAACACGUGGAUAACCUACCUAUAAGACUGGGAUAACUUCGGGAAACCGGAGCUAAUCCCGGAUAAUAUUUUGAACCGCAUGGUUCAAAAGUGAAAGACGGUCUUGCUGUCACUUAUAGAUGGAUCCGGGCUGCAUUGGCUAGUUGGUAAGGUAACGGCUUACCAAGGCAACGAUGCAUAGCCGACCUGAGAGGGUGAUCGGCCACACUGGAACUGAGACACGGUCAAGACUCCUACGGGAGGCAGCAGUAGGGAACCGUCCGCAAUGGGCGAAAGCCUGACGGAGCAACGCCGCGUGAGUGAUGAAGGUCUUCGGAUCGUAAAACUCUGUUACUAGGGAAGAACAUAUGUGUAAGGAACUGUGCACAUCUUGACGGUACCUAAUCAGAAAGCCACGGCUAACUACGUG
rnacentral:rRNA from 1 species